rnacentral:rRNA from 1 species
UACGUAGGGUGCAAGCGUUGUCCGGAAUUAUUGGGCGUAAAGGGCUCGUAGGCGGUCCAUCGCGUCGGGAGUGAAAAGCUGGGGCUUAACCCCAGUCCUGCUUUCGAUACGGGUGGACUAGAGGUAGGCAGGGGAGAACGGAAUUCCUGGUGUAGCGGUGAAAUGCGCAGAUAUCCGGAGGAACACCAAAGGCGAAGGCAGUGUCCUGGGGAGUACCUGACGCUCAGGUGCGAAAGCCAGGGGAGCGAACGGG